UAUUUUAUUUUUUUCUGUAGUGUUAUUAAUCCCCAACCUAUGUUCGUGCGCCCCUAUGCACUGUUUUGUAACCAACCUUUCUUUAAUAAACUGUUAAACUGCGACUGAUGUACAGGCACAGUACAAGGUUUUCGGUACAGGUCAGAGUACGUUUCAGAAAAGAUGGGAUUGCUAUUUUUGCUGUUCGAACUUUCUUAGGUUUCGAGACGUGAGCUCGAGGCGAUGAAGGGUCGAGCCUGAGGGACUUCCCAUUUUUCAGUGUGUGUGUCGUGGUGGCGAGGAGCGGUGGUGUAGCUUCCUUUGGCUGCUGCUGCUCCUGCUCCUCCUUUCUUUUCCCCCUUUAGUCUUUUUUAACGCUUGUCCUCGUGUCCCUCUUCCUCCUCGUUGCCUUUCCAUCGUUAUCGUUAUCAUCAUCCUCGCCCUCUCCGCUGGCUUUGUGUUCCUCACCUUACAUCUGCAGAUGGGGCUCACAUUCCUCUUCCUUUUUCUGCUGAUUCAACGCUUCUCGAUUUUAGUUUUCUUUCUCCUCGUUCUCAUCUUUUAUCUUGUCCUCCACCACUCCUCUCCACACGAACAAGGACACACACACGCCACACUGUCACUGUCGAUCCGGUGUCAUUGCAACGUCUUGUUCAGGAAACCGGAACAAGGAGACAUGAAAGUUGGCAGUGCGUGUGGCUGUGGUGAGCGGCGGCGGCGGCGGCGGCGACGACGACGACGACGACGACGACGACGACGUGUGGCGUGGCGAGCGGGUUUCUGCAGUAUCCCUCUCCUUCCCGUUUUCUGUUCUUCCCCUUUCUCUUCCUCCGCCUAGUGUACUGCUACUCGCUCUUGUACGGUGACUUUUUUUUUUCCUUCGUUGCAAUAUUUUGUCGUCUGUUUUCUCUUUUCUUUUCUUCUCGUGCUUUUUAUUCACAUUAUUAUUUCUUAUUCUAUUUUGUUUAUUUUGUGUGUUUGUACGUGUGUAUUUUCCUCUUCCACAUUUUAUUUGGAUUUUCUUAAUUUUUCUCGUAUUUUUCUAUUCUUCCUUGUAUCACACACACACACACACACACACACGCCGCGUAGUGUAGUGGUUGUUAGCACGCUCGGCUCACAACCAAGAAGGCCUGGGUUCGAAUCCCGGGAGCGACGAGGCAAAUGGGCGAGCCUCUUAAUGUGUAGUCCCUGUUUACCUAGCAGCAAGUAGGUACGGGAUGUAACCCGAGGGGUUGUGACCUCGCUGUUUUAUUAUUAAAUAGUUUGCAUAUUCAUUUAUCUACAUAUAUUAUUUGCAUAUUUAUUUAUCUACAUAUAUUAUUUUUAUUUUAUUAUUAUUAUUAUUAUUUAUUUUAUUUUAUUUAUUUAUUUAUUUUGUGUGUGUGUGUGUCGGGGAUGAGUUUUACAGCUCUCAUCGCAAGUUGUAUUAAAAUUCAAUAGCCACAUUUGCUCGCUCGUGUAUAUAUUGUUUAGUGUUAUCAGCGGUUCUUAAGAAACAGGAUUUUAAGAGAUUAUAAACUUUACGUGAUAUUAAGUUUUGUUUGGUUAACACUUGAUGCGCUUCAUCCUUCUCUCGCUCCUUGUUCGUGUUUCAUUCUCUUUCCUCGUGUAAACUGCUGUCCUCAUUCGUUUGUUCCCUUCUUUUAUGCACUUCAACCAUCCAGCCACAAUUUCUCGGUUGCCUCUGCACUUGUGUUGUUGUCUUUUUCAUCUUGUAUUCUAAGGCAAUGGAACAGUCCGUUGAUUUCUGUUGCUAUUUUUAAAUUCUUGCACUAUAUACAUUUUUCAUAGAUUUUCCUGGAAACCAUGAUUUUAAGACCAAUUGGAAAGUGGUCGUGAUGGUCCUCGUCCAGCUCCUCGCCACCUCACCACACGCCACCACCUUCCCUGUUGAUGCUGCGUCAACUUUAUUGUUACCUGUCGAACUUCAUUGCAGUCCUCGCCGUUGCAUUCCCACAUGCGUCGCUGUCAUGGCACCCUGGCACCCUACAGCCACAACUGCUGCUGCUGUCUUUUAUCCUGUAACAGGCGUGUGAGCGGUGUUGUGAUCGUCGCCUAGAGGUGUCCAUGUUCCGGGAGUCGCUGCCCUUCCAGUCCCCCUCCGCUGUCUGUCUGAGCAACCUGGGUGAAGAGCGGCGGACGCCGUGUUCCAUGUUAAUGUUUGCUGACCAGCCGUCCCCUCUUAUUUUCUCGGUCCUAGCGAGGUGAAGGAGGGACGCUUGCUUCUGCGGCAAACAGAAGCAAUCCACGAGGACGACAGGAAGGUGCGAACGUUUGAGGUGGAUGAAAAUAAUUGAUUAAUUGCUCAAUAUGUUGCUGACCAGCAGUCUUCAACGUUCGCACCGUGUCGUCCUCGUGGGUUGCCAUCUUAAACGUUUAACCUUCACCACUUUAUCAGAAGCCGCCUCCUUUACUAACUAGUAGGGACUGGAGAGGCAAAGAGGACGGGGCUGAUCAGCAAACGGAUGGAGAAACCAAGAGUAUGCCAUCUCGUGUCUCCAACCCAACGGGGUGGUUGUAAGCACCGAGCAGAAUCAGGGAGCCAAGACGCAAGUAUGGGGAUAGCCCGCGAAUGCCCGGCGAUGUCUUUAGUACGAAAACUCUGGGAGGGUGAAGAGGCACGUGGCAUUCAGCGGGUGAGAACUCGCAUGUUGCUGGAAGACAAGUAAGUGUUGCAACUAUGGACAUCUACCACCAGAGCGGUAGCCGGCCAUUACGAAUUACCCACACCAUUUUGAGAUGAAGAACCGGAUCUGCCAAACAACAACAACGAGAUGGCGCAGAAACGCUUGAAGGGACAGACGACGCCUCGCUAGGGAUUCGGACUUCAGACGACGAUAUGCAGGAGAGAGAGAACACUUGCUGUUAAAGAGCGAUGCCAGCGUCUGAACGUGAAGGACCACGAGGAGUAACCUGGUGCCUGCCUCACCAUCCACUCAUGAACCCAAACAAACCUGAGAAAGUGAAGGCUUUGUUUGCGCAGCGAAGUACAACAACGUUUCCCUCAAAGACUGAGUGAUGCAGGUUCCUGACCUAAAUAGCAAACUGGUGGGUGCCCUUCUGCGUUUCCGAAGUGAACGGAUUGCCGCGAUGGCUGAUGUGAAGGCAAUGUUUCUCAUCAAGCUGGCGUGACCCCUCUUCACCGAGACUCCUUAAGAGAUUCCUUUGGUGGAAAGAUGGGAACCUAAGGAGGGUAACGCGCGCCUACCGAAUGACGGGUAUGUCUUUUCGGGUGUGUAUGGAGUCCCUCCUGUGCUGCUUACGCAUUGCAACGAACUUUGACCGACUGUGAGGAAGAAUAUGGCAUAGCUAGUAGUUACUGAACAUGGAGGGGCUUGUACGUAGACAACUUACUUCUUUCAGUACCCUCCACCGAAAAGGCAUCCAGAUUUACUCGCGAUCUUUGGCUCACAAAGAGAGGAUUUCUCCUAAGUGGGUUAGUAGUAACCUUAAGGAGACAUAGUACAGUACUGUGUCCUACAGAGAGAGACAGGAAUAAGAAUAGAUCUGAGUAAGGACGCACUGGCUACAAAACGGGAUCUGGAAAGGGAUCAGUCAAUCAACUAGCUGUGAGGGGAGUACUGAGGGUGAGCAGCUCCGUUCAUGACCCUCUUGGACUGGUCAGUCCUGUAAUGAUUAAGGCGAAGGCGAUGAUCAAUUAAGGCGAAGGCGAAGAUCUUUCAGGACGAGUGCAGCCGAUAAGGAAGGAUGGAUGACCCCCUCCUAAAUCACCACAGGUCCUAGUUGGUUGGCUUGGCUGGAGGAGUUACCAGGACUGACAGUCUUUCAAGUUCCCCGAUGCUACAGGCGGGAGGACAUGGGAGAUGUUUUAUCACUUACCAACUGCAUCAUUUCAGAUCAAACAGGCUGAGAUGGUGAUAUUAAGAGUUGUUCAAACCACAACGUGCAAAGAGGAGAUGAACAUCCUAAAGUCAAAGUCAAAGAAAAAAAACUACAGAGGAAACAUUCGAUCUGUCGAGUGGAAUCCCUUCAUGGGUGAGGGUGGAUCCAGCCGUCCUCCAUGUGGACGGCUGGACCACGCACCGUUGCCUGCUACAAGUCGGUAUCCCAUUUCCAUGCUCAUACGGAGAGAGAUCAUCAUAUCACAAAAUUGAUUCUACAAGAGUGCAUGAGGACUUACUUGACAGUUCACGCAGGAUGGGAGCAUGUUACGUCACACUUACUGGAUUCCACAUACACCACCUGCCUGAGGACCGAGAGUAACCCCCAUGCUGGCACCAUUCUCGUCAGCUGGAGUGGAUUGCUUCAGACCGUUCUUGGUCAAAGUGGAAAGAAGCAGAGUGAGUGAGUGGGGAUGCCUCCACGUGCAUGACUACACACAUAAGAACAUAAGAAAUAAGGGAAGCUGCAAGAAGCGACCAGGCUUACACGUGGCAGUCCCUAUAUGAAAUAUACCUACCUAUUUUCUAUUUAUUAUCCCUAUCCAUCCAUAAACCUGUCUAAUCUUCUCUUAAAGCUCUCUAGUGUCGUAGCACUAACGUUGUUAAACUUGAUUUACCGAGUCCGUUCCACUCAUCUACCACUCUGAGAACCAAACCUAAACCUAAAUUUUUCAAGCUUGAACCCAUUAUUUCUUGUUCUCUACCCUGGUUGCUGAUCCUAACAAUUUUGCUUAUACCACUUAAAAAGACUUACUUUUUAAUAAAAGUAUCAGGUCCCCUCUUAAAAUAACAUCUUUCUAAAGAAUGUAAAUUUAACAGCUUCAAUCUCGCCUCGUAAAGAAUACUCAUCCCCUGUAUCUUUUUAGUCAUUCUCCUCUGUACUGAUCUAUAUAAAAUACAUCUUUCUAAAGAAUGUAAAUUUAACACAGCUUCAAUCUCGCCUCGUAAUGAAUACUCCUCAUCCCCUGUAUCCUUUUAGUCAUUCUCCUCUGUACUGAUCUAUAUAAAAUACAUCUUUCUAAAGAAUGUAAAUUUAACACAGCUCCAAUCUCGCCUCGUAAGGAAUACUCCUCAUCCCCUGUAUCCUUUUAGUCAUUCUCCUCUGUACUGAUCUAUAUAUAUCUAAUAGAGACCUAUAUCACAGCGUAGUCUACACGAGGUCUGACCAGCGAGCGCAAAGUAUAAAACUUUAAUAUCA